GCUCCAUGAAAUCAGUGACAUGGUCAAGAUGGCGGCAUGAGAGGGUGUAACAUUACUAGCUGAGGAACAAUUUUAGGGUUUUCUCACAAAGUUUAUAGUUUAAGGCUGCAGUUGCAAUUUGUUUGUUUCACAAAAAAUGAUAAUUAACCAUACAAUUAAUACUUUUCUAAUUAAUCAAACCAUUGACAUAUAUUUUUUUACGAUUUCCAACGAACAAGCUAGCUAUCGAAAAGUUUCAGCGUGUGUAGUUAAGUUAGCCUGCUAACGUCUUCAUAGAUAGUAGCAUGUAAUCAGGACAUGACCAAACUGUUGCUGAGAUGAUGGAUGUUGAAACUUCCAAGGAGAAAAGAGGCAUUGUUGAAACUCAAUCAUAUGCUUGCAGUUUAAAAAAGGGGGGUGAAUGCGAUUCAUUCCCGAAUACCCCAACCAAGGAGCAACUUCCAAAGAAGCUGAGAAGUGAACCAUCAAUGAGCCAGCUACAGGACAACAUCGUCCGCAUCCUCACGGCUAAAAUCAAAGAGAGCGCAGAUGUCAUGAAUGUCAUCUGCGCACAGGGAGUGGAUCGUCCAAAAGGCUAGUGUCCCUGUGCACAGGGAGGAGAUCCUCCUCACAGCCAGUGUCCCUGUGAAGAUGGAAACAAUCAUCCACAACCACGUCCCAUCAUCCCCAUGGUGGCACCACUGUGGAAAUGAGAUGGUGGAGCGUGCACUCCACCUGUUGAUUUCUAUUCCAAGAGAAGAGGUCACUUAAAUUUACCCAAUUAGUAAAGAAAUUACCAUUGUGAGAAUAAAUUGUGAUAGAUUAAAUAUAUGGCUCAUGUCAGUGUACAGCUGUAAUACUUUCAUGCAUUUUCUACAUAAAACAGGUUUAGCUCCAUUUUACUUUUACAUUUUAGUCAUUUAUCAGACACUCUUAUCCAGAGCGACUUACAGUAGCCCGUGUAUACAUUUUCAUACUCCAGUGAAUCUCUCCAGGAUUUCACAUGGAUCUUUUUGAUAUUUGCAGAUAAAUAUGCUAGAUUUUGCAGCGACAUAUGACAUUUUGCAUAGCAAUAUGCAAUUGUUUUGUCCAAUUAGUUGCAAAAAUGCACUGACAAAGGAAAAAACUGUGUUGACGUGUGGCUUGAUUGAACCAUAUUAUGCAGUAAAUGUGCGGUGAUUGGUUGAAAUUGCGAGCCCUCUUUUUGUACUGUGGUAAUGGGUCAGUUCUAUGCGAUAAUAUUGUGAUGAUGUGACUAUUUUAUGCAGAAAUUGUUUGGUGAUUGGUCAAAUUUGCAAGCCCUCAUAUAAUAUGCAGGGAAUUGUUGAUUUUGCAACCAAAACAAUGCGAUGGCAGAGUCCUGGAGUAACCUCCCAGUAAUCCCUGUGACUGCGUGUAGGUUAAGAUUGGGUUGUAGAAGAGUAUCAGAGCGAGACAUUGCUACCUGUCAUCUAGUAAUUGUUCUGUGUGGUGACAUGAGCAGAGUGGCCUGACUUUUCCCACUUAUUACAGAUGUCCGACUUCGAAAUGUUGAGCAUCCUGCUAUGAUAUAAAAAAAAUUGUGGCUUGCUUCACAUUGCUAAUAUCUUCUUCCUCAGAUUGUCUGGGAUCCAACUCUGCACAGAUGGGUUAACAAAACUGAGCCCAAGGCUUAGAACAAGUGUGUACCACCACCUCCACCGAUGGGGACAUAUGGAUAUCAGGGGAACACUGGCAGUGUCCCCCAAAGGAGUGAAUCAUUACUCUAUGAAAGCAGCAGGUCUAUGGGGCAGCAGAUACCCUACAAUGCAUUACAAUGAUGGGACCAACUCAAAGCCUACAAGCCAUGGGCCUGGACUGCUUCCUAGACAGCUCUCUGGCUUGCUCCCUCCUUCACACUUUGACCUCAUGGCACCAAUGGUUGUGCCACCUGACACUCUACCCUACUGAGAUAACCUGCUGUUCCUGGCUGUGGUCAGCCAUUUUGGGGCGAAGCUGCACUGGCCCAGGCUCAUUGCUAUGGGCUGUUUCCUCAUGGCUGUAGGAUCCUUCCUCACAGGCCUGCCACACUUCUUCAUGGGACGGUAAAACAACUGAAAUACUGGUUAAACUUGUGCUUCUAGAGAUACGCCAAUGCGGAGGAUAGUUUCACUUUAGAAAUAAAGAAAUGUAUCCAGUUGUUGAUUAAUCUCAGUUAACUUAGAACUAAAGUCUUGCGUAAUUGGUCAGCUGCUUGAUAAUGUUUUGGGGCCAAACAUGUGAAGAGAAGAGAUUGAGAGAUGCUUUAACUGUGAUGUGGUAAAGUUGGACCCUGGCGCAGAGAAAAGACCAGAAGAUGAAGCAGUGGUUCCAACCAGUGUCUCCACCCCUCAAGGGCCCACUUAACUGCCAAGAGGUCCCAGUUGCCUACAUCGUAGUUGCCUUCUGCUGGCGAGAAUCGCUUGGAGAGAAAGGUGUGUGGGUGCAGUUUCUUGUCCUCCUCCUUCCGCUGUGAAAGGACCACCCCAGCUCCGGUGUCCGAGGCACCCACCUCUAUCACAAAGGGGCGUGUAGGAUCAGGAUGAACGAGGAUGGGUCCGAAGGUGAAACGUCCCUUGAGCUCUAUAAAUGCCCUGUCAGCCUCGGGAUUCCAGCAUAAACCUGCUUGAGUGAGGUGGGACAGGGCUGUAUGUGUUCCGGAAGGGUUUUUGGAGAAGAUCAGGAUGUCGUCGAGGGAAACAAAGACGAACCGGUUCAACAAAUCCCUUAGAGUGUCAUUGAUCAAUGCCUGAAAGACUGCCGGUGAGUUCGAUAUUCCAAAGGUCAUGACUAAAUACUCAGUGACCAUUAGGGGUGUUAAAGGCAGUUUUCCACUAAUUUCCCCCCCUGAUUCUCACCAGAUUUUAAGCGUUGCGGAGGUCCAGUUUGGUGAAGAAUUGGGCUCCUAGGGCCAACUCCAAGGCGGCGGACAUCGGGUAGGGGGUAACGAUUCUUGAUCCUAAUCCUUUUCAGCCCUCUGUAAUUGAUGCAAGGACUGAGGUUUGGGUCAAAGAGAGAGACACGGGAUGCAUUUAGACAGGCAGCCCAAUUAUGAUAUUUUUUCCACUAAUUGGUCUUUUGACCAAUCACAUUACAUGUUUUCGCAUCAGCUCUUUUUCUGAGUAUAUUUGAUUGGUCAAAAGACCAAUUACUUAAACAAAUGACUGAAUUGGGCAGCCUGUCUCAACGAAGCCAUAGAAACCUGGACAUGCUCCACCUGAAAUGUUCCAUCCUGUCAGUACUUUUUUUGUUCUCUUUCAUCCUCUGUAGGUUUGUUGAACAUGAGUGGAAAUGAAACUCCAGCACACUGGUAGCACUAAAGAUGUGUGAGUAUAACUUUUCUUGGUGAGUUGAACCUGCCUGUGGGUGCGGUGGGGACAUUCCUGGGAGGUCUACUGAUGAAGAUGUAUAAGCUUGGCAUUGUGUCUGGAGCCUAGCUGUCUUUUGUCACCUCCUUCAUGGCCUACCUCCUCCUCCCUCUGCAGUCUGGCACUAAGUGUGACAACGUUCAGGUGGCUGGUCUGACCGUGUCCUACAACGGGUAAAUAUGACAUCUGAAUGGUUGGUUGGUGGGUUGAUAAAAACUAAUGUUUUGAUCAGUGGAAUAUGAGGGAGAGUUAGACCAAAACACACAUGGGCUUGUGCCGGGGCUCCCUCUUGUGGGAAUAUACAGUAUGGUUGUUACUGAGCCAGGAUUCCUGACUGUUUUGUCACUGUGCCUAUGUCAAUGAUAGUUCAGCAACAAUUAUUUAAACAUCAUUAUUACCAGCCAUUUUCUCUGUCCCCUGGUGUACGAUGGCAGCCUGUUGUCAGAGUGUAACAGAAACUGCUCCUGCUUGGCUUGAGAGUGGGACCCUGCGACUUUAUCAACCCUCUGUAUGUGUGUUUUGGAUGAAAACUGGAUUUGUGUAAGAGGGAAUGAGUGUCCAUAGGUUUGAAAUAAACCUUUGUUGCUAAUUUCUUCAUGUUAAGGCUCUCAGACCCAGAGGUUACUCGAAACAUUUCCUCCGUACUAUAAGAGCAGAGGUGAAUACUAUGUUUGUAACUGAACCUAUAUAUGGGAAGACUAGUAAUGGGUGUAUUAUCCCAUUUGUCACCACAUAUUCACAGUCUUCUAUGAAGUUUAACUCCAUAGUGAAGGAUCAUUUUAAGCAGACAAGGGAGGAUGUGGAGACUCUCCAACAGUUCAGAGGCCUUCACUCGGACCCAUUUUCCCACUCCAUAGCUCUUCACUCCCUCCUUCACCCGUCUCCUCUGCUGUCCACAUCUACAGGAGGGCCACAACAGAACACUUAGGGUUAACAUAUAGUAUACAUUAUGUAGAGGUUUCCCAGACACAGAUUAAGCCUAGUCCUGAUUCUCCAUUUAACUUGCUUUUUAGUCCAGGACUAGGCUUUAUCUGUGUCUGGGAAACAGCCCAAGUCACCAUUUAAAAACCAACAUAACAUUCGGAAAGUAUUCAGACCCCUUCACUUUUCCACAUUUUGUUACAUUACAGCCUUAUUCUAAAAUUGAAUAAAUUGUUUUCCCCCCCCUCAAAUCUACACACAAUACCCCAUUAAUAACGAAGCCAAAACAGUUGUUUUUAUUUUUUGCAAAUAUACACUACCGUUCAAAAGUUUGGGGUCACUUAGAGACCUGAUCCUAGAUCACCACCCCUACCCGGAGGCCUGAUCCUGGAUCCCUGGCCUGAUCCCAGAUCACCACCCCUACCCGGAGGCCUGAUCCUAGAUCACCACCCCUACCCGGAGGCCUGAUCCUAGAUCACCAAUCCUACCCGGAGGCCUGAUCCUAGAUCACCACCCCUACCCUGAGAGGCUUUAUGAAUCAAGUCCUCAACUGGCAGCUUCAUUAAAUAGUACCCGCAAAACACCAGUCUCAACGGCAACAGUGAAGAGGCGAGUCCAGGAUGCUCGCCUUCCAGACCUAACUAUUUGCAGGUCUCUCCAGAGAUUUUAGAUCGGGUUCAAGUCCGGGCUCUGGCUGCGCCGCUCAAUAACAUUGCGAGUUGUCCGGAAGCCACUCCUGCAUUGUCUUGACUGUGUGCUUAGGGUCAUUGUCCUGUUACAAGGUGAACCUUUGCCCCAGUCUGAGGUCCUGAGUGCUCUGGAGCAGGUUUUCAUGAAGGAUCUCUGUACUUUGCUCCGUUCAUUUUCCCCCUCGAUCCUGACUAAAUCUCCCAGUCCCUGAAAAACAUCCCCACAGCAUGAUACUGCCCCUACCAUGCUUCACCGUAGGAAUGGUGCCAGGUUUACUCCAGACGUGACGCUUGGCAUUCAGGCCAAAUAGUUAAAUCUUGGUUUCAUCAGACCAGAGAAUCUUGUUUCUAAUGGUUUGAAAGUCCUUAACUUCUUAUGGCUGCAAUCCGGUUAACGUGAUGAUAUGACAACAGCCAGUGAAAGUGCAGGGCGCCAAAUUCAAACAACAGAAAUCUCAUAAUUAAAAUUCCUUAAACAUACAUGUAUCUUAUACCUUUUUAAAGGUAAUCUUGUUGUUAAUCCCACCAAAGUGUCCGAUUUCAAAUAGGCUUUACAGCGAAAGCACCACAAACAAUUAUGUUAGGUCACCACAAAAUCACAGAAAAACACAGCUAUUUUUCCAAAGACAGGAGUCACAAAAAGCAGAAAUAGAGAUAAAAUGAAUCACUAACCUUUGAUCUUCAUCAGAUGACACUCAUAGGACUUCAUGUUACACAAUACAUAUAUGUUUUGUUCGAUAAAGUUCAUAUUUAUAUCCAAAAACCUCUGUUUACAUUGGCGCCAUGUUCAGAAAUGCCUCCAAAAUAUCCGGAGAAAUUGCAGAGAGCCACGUCAAAUAACAGAAAUACUCAUCAUAAACUUUGAUGAAAGAUACAUGUUUUACAUAGAAUUAAAGAUACACUUGUUCUUAAUGCAACCGCUGUGUCAGAUUUCAAAACGCUUUACGGCAAAACACAAUAUUCAAUAAUCUGAGAACAGUGUUCAGCCACAAAAGUAAGCCAUAGAGUUACCCGCCCAAAUUGUGCAGUCAACAAAACUCAUAAAAAGCAUUAUAAAUCUUCACUUACCUUUGCUGAUCUUCGUCGGAAUGCACUCCCAGGACUCCCACUUCCACAAGAAAUGUUUGUUUUGUUCGGUAAUGUCCAUCAUUUAUGUCCAAGUAGCUACUUUUGGUAGCACGUUUAGUACACAUAUCCAAACGCUCGUGCAGGUCCAGGAAAACGUAGGACGAAAACUUCAAAAAGUUAUAUUACAGGUCGAAUACACUUGUCAAACUAAGUAUAGAAUCAAUCUUUAGGAUGAUGUUAUCAUACAUUUUCAAUAACGUUCCAACCGGAGAAUUCCUCCGUGUCUAUAGAAGUAAUGGAACGCAAGUCGAUAUCAUGUGGAAUGCGUGCGACCAGGACCUGGCUCUUGUGAACGCUGCGUGUAACACAUCCGGUAUCAGGAUAAAUAAAAAGCAAGGUCUGCUAACUUUCUUUAAUUAUGUUUAAUUACCGCAAGCAAUGAAUGGCAAAUGCAAUUUUCGUAUAUACGGGUUCACUGUAUCACCACGCAGGGAACUGGCAGGAAGUACGUAAACAGCUGUUCUUAUACCGUGAUGACGUAGUUCCAACGCGUCUGUUGGCCUAUCACAGUAGAGGCUGAGUUUGCCCAGCCUAUCACCGUUAUUCAGACUGGUCCCCUUCUUUCAGAUGUCCGCAUCUGGUCGUUGCGUAGAUUAGAUCCGUCUUGUGUCUGUCGAUUCUACACUGAAACAGUUCCUAAUAUGGUAUUGUCCAGUAAUCUAACCUCCCUGGUUGGCCUAGAGAGAUUUGCACCCCUCCCCUCUCCAGAUUGACCACAGCUUUUAUGGCCUGUCACUCAAUGUUGGUCAGUCUUUAUACACCCACAUCUGUAUUGUUUGUGUGUGUGUGUAACAAAACAAUAUUCAUCUUCAUACAAUAUGGUAGCAGGCUAUAGUGCAUAAACAUAAAUCCUAACACUCUCUGCCAGACCACUGACUCAAACAGCUCCCAUCCGGCUCAACAUCACAGUAGAAGCUUCAUGCAACGUUCUACACACUGUUGACAUCUAGUGGAAGCCAUAGGAAGUGCAAACAGAUCCAUAUCCUACUGUGUUUUCAAUAGACGAUGAGUUGAAAAUCGACCAACCUCAGAUUUCUCAUUUCCUGGUUGGAUUUCUUCUCAUGUUUUUGCCUGCCAUAUGAGUUCUGUUAUACUCACAGAUAUAAUUCAAACAGUUUUAGAAACUUCAAAGUGUUUUCUAUCCAAUACUAAUAAUAAUAUGCAUAUAUUAGCAACUAUGACUGAGGAGGAGGCCGUUUACUCUGGGCACCUCUGUGCACCUUUCAUCCAAGCUACUCAAUACUGCCUCUGCAGCCAUAAAAGUUAACACAUUUUUAAUGAGGGACACGUAUUGACUAGUUUGACGAGGGUAGUGGAAGUUGACUGAAAGAGAGGGACUACCUGACCUUGUCCAAUAAGAAAUGCUUGCAAAUCAUUUUGCUAUGGUGUGCCCUAAUGAAUACUACCUCUUUCUGACUCCAGGACCUCGCCUGAGGAGGAUGUGUGUAUUCAGGAUGACACACCUGAGCUCCCUGCUCAUAUAGAACGUACCACCCAAUCCACUUCUGCCCCCCAGAGAGGCUCCACCCCCACCCCCCAGAAUCUCUCCAGCACUCCACCAAUCUGGCCUUUAUGUUUGAGUGGCCAGACGGAAGCCACUCCUCAGUAAAAGGCACAUGACAGGCCGCUUGUAGUUUGCCAAAAGGCACCUUAAUUGAAGCUAGGGGGCAGAAUUUUUAUGUUUGGAAAAAUAACGUUCCCAUUGUAAGCUGCAUAUUUCUCAGGUCCAGAUGCUAGAAUAUGCAUAUAAUUGACAGAGUAGGAUAGAAAACUCUAAAGUUUCCAAAACUGUCAACAUUUUUACGCGCAUGGUUUGCUCGACAUUUUCUUUCUCUCCAGUAUUGAAUAGUUUACAGUUCGGUUGAAAUAUUAUCAUUUAUUGAUGUUAAAAACAACCUAAAGAUUGAUUAUUAAAAACGUUUGACAUGUUCUACGAACUUUACGGAUAAUCUUCGGAAUUUUCGUCAAGCCUUGAUGACCUGCCUAAGGCUGUGGAAUACUGAACAUAACGCGCCAAACAAAUGGAGGUUUGAUAUAAAAAUAAUCUUUAUUGAACAAAAGGAACAUUUAUUGUGUAACUGGGAGUCUCGUGAGUGCAAACAUCUGAAGAUCAUCAAAGGUAAGCGAUUCAUUUUAUUGCUUUUCUGGCUUUCGUGACCAAUCUACACUGCUGCUAGGUGUUCUUAAUGUUUUGUCUAGUGAUCGAUAAACUCACACAAACGCUUGGAUUGCUUUUGCUGUAAAGCAGAUUUUCAAAAUCUGACACGUCAGGUGGAUUAACAACAAGCUAAAAUGUGUUUUGCUAUAUUGCACUUGUGAUUUCAUGAAUAUAAAUGUUUUUAGCAAAAAAAAAAUCAUUUGGCGCUCUGCAAUUUAGCGGUUGUUGAUGAAAAUCAUCCCGCUAAAGGGAGUUUUAAAGAAAUAGUUCACCUAGAUUAAAUGGGCCACAAUCACUCUUUGACGACUUCAUUUGGUCUGGCAUUUUAACUUGUGUUCUUGUUGCACAUCUCAGAAGUCUCCCACUGGCAUCAAUUAUCUUUUUAAGUUGACUGUGUAUAAUAGGAAUUUAGGGGUGAACUAAAAGGUGAGCAGUUGCAGAUAACGUCAAUAAAAAAUCUAUCCGGUUUAUUACAAGUUGCAACAGGGAGACACUUACGGUGCAGAAGCGGAGAAAAUGUCCCAUUGCAUACUAAUCAGACAACACCAGUCAAAAGGUUUCUAGAAACUCAAAACAAAAAGCAGUGACUGUUAUCUGCUGCAGAAUCACACAGUGUUCAUAGAAUGUCAUCAAUAAAACACAUUGAAUAAUUAGUGUGUCCUCAGUCCAUGUACUUGGACCCCAUGUCUGGCGUCAAUCACUAUAAACAGAUAUUGCAAGAAUCCAUAACAUUCAAUAUCAAGUCUAGUGACCCUCAACCCAUGUCACAAACAGAACACUGCAAUGUGUAUUACAGAAAGGGAAAAUAUAUAACAUGCUGAAACAUUUAGUUAAAUGUUCUUAACUGAAUAUGAUCUUAAUUAAUCUUAAAAAUUACCAUAAAACUGUGCUUAUCUCAACUCUAUAUCAGGCCCUUUGUAAUUUGGGUGAACUAUCCCUUUAAUUCCCAGGGAUGGGGAAGAGAAAUCAGAGAACGUGUAUCAGGGAUUAGCGGCCGCCGUAGCAGACCAUCUCUUUCUUUCUCUCCUAUGGUCUAUAUGCUCUCCCAACCUCUGUCUUGCCUGUGUAUAACUCACAGAUAAUGUCUUCAUCAGUGAUGUACUUUCACUACUCUGUUCUGAGUUACUGAGCCACACUCCCUCUCCUCACAGUACAGGCUUGUUCCUGGCACCAAAUGCAGAUUACAUCGUGUUUCCCCAACUACUAAAAGUGUCAGAGGCUGUCUGGCAUUACUUUUAUGCCGCGUUAUUAACGAUAGCCCUUCCCACGCCCCAGUGUGUGUGUCUAAUUAAAACUUCACUGCAUUGAGAAGCAGGGAACGGAUCCAUCCACGAGAUAAGAAAUAAUAAUUGUAAAUAUUAUAGAUCAUUAUUAUUAUUUUCAUGGCUGCAGGAGAAAUGGUGUGAGUUGGCCGAUCUGUAUUCGUAGCUGUGGCUGUUGGAUGACUUCUGGGAAAUGCUUUUUAAUGCUGCUUUAGAUUAGUAUCCAUAAUGAUCUUUGUAAUGCAUUGUGAAAGAAAUGUUGUAACUAAAUUGCCAAUGUAAUUAUGUAAACAAAAUUCUGGCUAAUUUCUGACAGAAAGUUAAAUCGUAAGUGAUAUGGAUCAAAGGAUGCAUUCCUGCAUUUUUUCCUGUCAUCUGACAAACCAGUGUCUGCAUUUCUUGUAAGUUUGAAAUUCUGCCAUUUCAACAGAUGCUAAUAGAUGUUUUGUAACGAUAAUCAUUGGCAGAAUAAAAAAGUGUCAUGCACAAUACUCUCAUCAACAUCAAAUCAAGAGUCAAAAACAACUAUUUGUCCAGUAUAGAACAAAUGGUGCUCAGGUAUGUGUAGGCUCUGAGGGGAAUCCUAUGAAGCAAGCUAGAUCUACUCGGGGUUUUCUAAAGCUUAACUAGCUUCACAUUCCAGCUCAUCCGCCUGGUGCUAACUCUCGCAGGCUUGUAACUGCGUGCAUGUUGCACAUGGCUAGUUGAAUGCCGAACUCAUCAAUCCAUGGGCGAGUCAGUGCCACAUUUUAAUUUGUACCGAAAUCAAAAUGAAAGAAAAGUUAUUGCAAAUUCAGCAGGGUUUGGUGUGAAAUAGGCUUUUAGAAGUUCCGACAUAAUUUUAUUACUUAUCGUUAAUACAGUUUUUGGUGUGCUUUGGUGUGCUUAUCAAUGCACCUUUUUUCGGACUUUAUUAAGUCAUACAAAAGUGUUACAUUGCGUGAAGUUUAAUGCAUUAUGUCAUUACUAAAUGUGUAAUAUGAUAUAUUUUAACACAAACAUUUGAUUAAACCAUACACUUCAAAGUAAAUUGUGUCACAAUCGGUAAAAUAGCCUUAUCUCAGCUCACUAGUCACCAUAGCAGCACCCAAACCUAGCACGCGCUCCAGCAGGUAUAUUGCACUGGUCACCCCCAAAGCCAAUUCGUCCUUUGGCCACCGUUCCUUCCAGUUCUCUGCUGCCAAUGACUGGAACGAAUUGCAAAAAUCACUGAAGCUGGACACUCAUAUCUCCCUCACUAACUUUAAGCACCAGCUGUCAGAGCAGCUCAUCGAUCACUGCACCUGUAAAUUGUCCAGCUGUAAAUAGCCCAUCCAACUACCUCAUCCCUAUACUGUUAUUUAUUUAUAUUUUUUUUUUGCUCCUUUGCUCCCCAGUAUCUCUACUUGCACAUUCAUCUUCUGCACAUCUAUCACUCCAGUGUUUAAUUGCUAAAUUGUAAUUAUUUCUCCACUAUGGCCUAUUUAUUGCCUUACCUCACUUAUCCUACCUCAUUUGCACACACUGUAUAUAGACGUUUUCUAUUGUGUUAUUGACUGUAUGUUGGUUUAUUCCAUGUGUAACUCUGUGUUGUUGUUUGUGUCACACUGCUUUUCUUUAUCUUGGCCAUGUCGCAGUUGCAAAUAAGAACUUGUCUCAACCUUCCUACCUGGUUAAAUAAAGGUUAAAUAAAUAAAAUGUAAACAUAACUGGAGACACCUCGUAAUUUAUGGAUGCAAGCUUUUGACCAAACAGCAUUAUGGUAUCUAGCUAGAUUGAUUGUUGGAGCAGUGGCUACCUUAAUAAUUUGGCUAACUGUGGGGGGAAACAGUUAAAGGGAAAUUUAAUCUUGGCUCUGCCAGUGUACAUAGUCAAUACCAUAUUAAAAACAUUAUGUUUUGGCAUAAACCUAAAAAAUCUCCUCACCACAAGCAAGAACGAGUGGAUUUUCUUUUCAAUGAUAGAAUCAGGAAAUCAAUCCUGUGUAAUUGUCUGCUCCUAGUGAACCACAAUGACCAGCCAGCAUUCAUGGCCGUUGCACAAUGCAUGAUGGGGCCAAUAAAGGAAGCACCGCCCCACACCGAGCUGUUUUUCAGGCAUUUUUCUUUUCCCCAACGCAGUUAAGCCAAAACCACGCCCGUAAUUCAGAGGGUCGUUCUACAACGAUUGAGCGCUCUCCAUGUCUGGAAGUGAAUAUCAUACUCAAAGACAGAUUCAAUGGCUGUAGCAUAGCGUAUUCGACGGAUUAGUUAUGUUUUACAUCAUAUUUGCUAAAUCCUUAAUACAUACAUAUUUUUUCUAUGCCAGUGGCUAACCACUCCCCUUCAGCAUUUUGUAUUUUUUUGAGAUAGUAGGAACUUCGAGGAACAUCAUUUUACUUAAUGUGCUUUAUUCACUUUGGGUGAUUACUAUUUGCAUACACUGAGUCAAACAACUUGAUAUCUAAUUUCUGAUGGCCUUUUCCUUUUAGUAUGUGAACAGUAUGGGUGCUCAGAGCCACUGUUCUGGCCUUUUGGUCGUCCAGUCGUGAGGCGCCGUUUUGUACCAUCCUUGGUGGAACGAUGGGCAACAGCUGACAGGGAAUCAUAUGGCCUGGUCAUCUGGCAGCUCUUCAGAGUGCUGCUGCUCUGUUGGCCGCUGGGCUAAUGUGAGACUUCCCAAAGAAAUGGCUGACAAGCCUUGAUGGAUUGCCUUUAACUGCUUCGCAAUUGCCACCAGUGCCUCACUAAAGUUGUCGUCGAUACUCAGCCUGUUGAGGUCAUCCAGCAUUCCAGCAACCAGGUCAGUUGGUGAUAAUUCAGUUGGUGAUAAUUAAAAUAAAACUUUUUUUUUGUGCAAUGUAAAAGUCUAGUAAUUCAUCCCAUUCUUAGGGGACAGACAACUGAAGUUACAGAAAAUGUGUCACUGUAAAUAUAAUGUCAGUGCUGAAUGUGAACUGCUUAGAAGUACAAUUCCCUUACCCCUUACCCAUCAUUGUCACUGGUUACAGGCUGUUGGUCAGGAGCACACUGUUCCUCCAAGCAGGUGGCCAUGUCUGCAACUGAACAUAGAAAAUACUAAGAUACGACUAUUAAGGUACAAUGCACAAUGAAGGUUGUAUAUUUGUUAAACUGCACCCAAAAUGGGCGACAACACCAUAUACCAUUAUUUAAAAACAGUGGAAAACAAUAAACCAAACAUAAUACAAGUGCCAGUCUACUUACUUUUCAUGUAUUCAUUCAUGAAGUGCAGAUGUACUGAACAUUGAUGUUUAAGGCGCCUGCACUAAGUCCAGACGAAAAGUCAAAAAAAGUACAAUAAAAGUUAAUAGAAACAUGCCAAACAAUGUUUCAAAUCAAUCCUCCGGUUGUUUUUGUCAUAAAUAAAUAAUCAAUAAUAUUUCAACCGGACAAUAGCUAUCGAACAAAAUAAACAUUUAUUGUCUAACAUGGAGACCUGGGAGUGCCACCAGAUGAAGAUCAUCAAAGGUAAGUGAUACAUUUUUAUGCUAUUUCUGACUUUUGUGACACUCUCCUUAGCUGGAAAAUGUCUGUAUGGGUUUCUGUGGCUAGGUGCUGACCUAACAUAACCGCAAAGUGUGCUUUCUCCGUAAAGCCUUUCUGAAAUCUGACACAGCGGUUGCAUUAAGGAGAAGUUUAUCUUUAUCCGUAUGUUUAACACUUGUAUCGUUUAUCAAUGUUUAUGAUCAGUAUUUCUGUAAUUUGAUGUGGCUCUCUGCACUUUCACCGGAUAUUUGUUUGAGACAAUGCAUUUCUGACCAUAACGCGCCAAUGUAAACUGAGAUUUUUGGAUAUGAACUUUAUCGAACAAAACAUACAUGUAUUGUGUAACAUGAAGUCUUAUGAGUGCCAUCGGAUGAAGAUCAUCAAAGGUUAGUGAUUCAUUUAAUCUCUAUUUUUGCUUUUUGUGACUCCUCUCUUUGGCUGGAAAAAUGGUUGUAUGGUUUUCUGUGACUAGGUGCUGACCUAACAUAAUCGCAUAGUGUGCUUUUGCAGUAAAGCCUUUUUGAAAUCGUACACUGUGGUUGGAUUUACAAGAAGUGUAUCUUUAAAAUGGUGGAUAAUACUUGUAUGUUUGAGGAAUUUUAAUUUUGGGAUCUCUGUUGUUUUGAAUUUGGCGCCCUGCAAUUUCACUGGCUGUUGUCGUGGUGGAACGCUAGCAUGGUCAACGCCUGGUCAAGAACUACAGGAAACGUAUGAUCUCUGUAAUUGCAAACAAAGGUUUCUGUACCAAAUAUUAAGUUGUGCUUUUCUAAUGUAUCAAAUACUUAUGUCAUGCAAUAAAAUGCAAAUGAAUUACUUAAAAAUCAUACAAUGUGAUUUUCUGGAUUUUUGUUUUAGAUUCCGUCUCUCACAGUUGAAGUGUACCUAUGAUAAAAAUUACAGACCUCUACAUGCUUUGUAAGUAGGAAAACCUGAAGAAUCGGCAGUGUAUCAAAUACUUGUUCUCCCCACUGUAUAUCAAUAUACAUGUACAUAUUCUCAGUCACCCCUUUAGAUUUGUUUGUAUUAUGUAGUUGUUAGGGAAUUGUUAGAUUACUUCUGAGAUAUUACUGCACUGUCGGAAUUAGAACCACAAGCAUUUCGCUACUCUCACAUUAACAUCUGCUAACCAUGUGUAAAUGACAAAUAACAUUUGAUUUGAUUCAAAGCAUUGUAUUUGGAACAAAACACUCACUAAACCUCAACAUAAAUCUUCUCAUGAAUAAUGUGGAAAUGUAUCAGGUUGAGGUGACUAAACUGUUUGGAGUAUCCCUGGAUUGUAAACUGUCAUGGUCAAAAAUAUUGAUACAACAGUAGCUAAAAUGGGGAGAAGUCAGCCCAUAAUAAAGCGCUGCUCUGCCUUCUUAACAACAGGCCUCCAACAGGCCUUAGUUUUGUUGCACCUGCACUACUGUUCAGUAGUGUGGUCAGGUCGCACAAAAUUACAAUUGGGGAGUGGCAGCACUGCUAGCCCUUAAAAUUUCACGGUGAGCUAAUGUUAAUGAUAUGAAUGUCAAUCUCUAAUGGCUCAAAGUGGAGGAGAGAUUGACAUCACUACAUGUUUUUUUAAGAAGUGUUGACAAGCUGAAUGGAAUGAGCUGUCUGUUUAAAAUACUAGCACAAAGCUCGGACACCCAUGCAUACCCCACAAGACAUGCCACCAGAGGUCUCUUCACAGUCUCCAACUCCAGAACAGACUAUGGGAGGUGCAGAGUACUACAUAGAGCCAUGACUACAUGGAACUCUAUUCCACAUUAGGUAACGGGAGCAAGCAGUAGAAUCAGAUUUUAAAAACAGAUACAAAUAUACCUAAUGGAACAGCGAGGACUGUGAAGAGACACACACAAAGGUACAGACACACAUACGCAGGUACAGACACACACACAUACGCAGGUACAGACACACACACAGGUACAGACACACAUACGCAGGUACAGACAUACGCACAAGAGCUAGCACAGUCUACACACACGCACAUUGUAAUAUUGUUGUAUGCUGGUAUUAUACAUUUUGUAUUUUAUAUAUGUAGUGUUGUAUUAAUGUUAUAUGAUGUGCUUUUUUAGAUUUAGUUUUAUAUGUAAUGUGUAAACCUUAAUGUGUUUGGACCCCAGGAAGAGUAGCUGAGGCCUUGACUGCAGCUAAUGGGGAUUUUUUUUUUUUUUUUUUUAAAUGUACCUUAUGGUGGAGAAAUUACAAGAUUAUGUUAUAAUACUGUGAUUUGUCGAAUAGCUUAUUUUUUUAGAACACUCAUCUUUGUGUGUGGACUGAAAGUGGGCCUCUGGGACACUUAAUACUGACAGUGGAUUUACGAUGAAUUUGUGGUAAAGACAACAUUCCAAUCCAUGAUUAGUGUCUGUGUCCCUGUCUGUCGGAAACAGGGAGAACCACUCUCCCGUUUCUUUAAAGGAAGGAUUUAGUAUUCUAGGUUACAUUAGUAUUUUUGUACAAGCAUGCAGUAAAUGAACUAGAGACAGAUAUUUGUUGCCAUGUAAAUCUUGAUGUCUGUUGCAUGAGAGCACAAUGUGCAUUUGUAUAAAUUCUGUCAUCUGUGAUUUGUCUUGAACAUCCAGGAGGAUGGACUUUUCUAUA